rfam:Peptoanaerobacter stomatis strain OBRC8 ctg120007290654, whole genome shotgun sequence.
GUAAUGAUACUUCCGUCUGGCUAACGUCACUGUAAGGGACGGCCCACCCAUCAGCAUGGGAGGGGGUGGAAUUCCCAUGA